GCCUCUUCUCUCCCCUCUUUAUAGACCCAGUUCCCUUGUCUUUGUGACUCUCCUUCUCUCUUCCACGGGUACAAUUUCUUUGUAAUCCUUCGUAAAUGUGCCUAGAUUUGUGGGUCAACUCCACUAUUUUCUCUUUUUCUCUUGGUGUUUCUGUUUCUGCAUUGUGAGACUUUUGAAACGAAGCUCUGAAGGAAGAAAUGAGUGUUUCCAGGUUUAUUAAGUGUGUUACGGUUGGUGAUGG
rnacentral:misc_RNA from 1 species